GUGACAUGAUUCCUGACAUACCAAACAAAACGAAUACACGUAUGCGUGAUUCGCUUCGAGAUAAUUCUAUAAUUAGAAAUAAUCAAGCAAUUCAAAGUGGUUUGAGGCAAAAGUACAUAUAUUUCUCAAGAACAUAAAAUAUCCAGAAUUAGUUAAGCCCGGUAUAAUUAUUAAAACAACCGUACUAGAACAUCGGAACUC
rnacentral:lncRNA from 1 species